rnacentral:misc_RNA from 1 species
AACCCUUCAAGCUCUGCUUGGUGUUGGGCGUUUGUCUCUUGUGGACUCGCCUCAAAUUCAUUGGCAGCCGGUAAGUUGGCUUCGUGCGCAGCACAUUGCGUCGCGACUCCAGCGUGCCUCCUCCCAUCAAGACCUUCUAUCA